GGUACGGGAGAGGGUUGGAAGACCAAGAGUGAGAAAAACUCCUGGGUCAACAUAAAGAUAGCUGCUGCCCUCCCAGGGCUUCCUGCAGUUCUGGCUCCUCACUGGAGGCCAGCAGUGGCCACAUGCCACCUUCAGCAGGAUGUGCACUGAGGCCGAGAUGGCACGCCAGGAGAGAGAGGCAGCAAAGCUGGGCCUGAUGGCCAGGGGCCCUGCAGAACUCAUGGGCACCUCCCUCACGUGUGAGUGACUGUGCUUUCCCAAGGGGCCCUACUGCACAGGGCCUCACCCUUUCGGAAAUGUUAAUGGUCCCCAUGUGUCCCACAUGCCCCCUGACAUCCCCAGAGCAUUGGUCCUGACAGCUCGUGUCUGGAGUGUCUGCAGGGGAAGGAAAACUCAGAGGCGAAGGCUGGGAUGCAGCAGAACUUUAAUAUUCGAGUCAAAAGAGGGAAACGAGGUUGCUCCGAGAGAAUGCCCCAGUGCAGGAAGCACCAGGGGCAGACGAGAGCGUGUGCUCUGUGGCCACGGAGGGCAUCCCACCACCUGUCCAUCUACCCACUCCACUGAGGGAGAAGGGACAGAAGGUCCUCUCUAGGCUCAUGUGGUGGGACUCAGAGCUCAGUGGAGCUGCGGUGAGUAACAAGGACACAGGUGGGAAAGGAGAGACUGGAGGAG